rnacentral:rRNA from 1 species
AACGUAGGAGACAAACGUUAUCCGGAGUUACUGGGCGUAAAGGGCGUGUAGGCGGUUAGUUAAGUCUGGCGUGAAAGCUCUCGGCUAAACCGGGAGAGGUCGUUGGAUACUGGCAAACUAGAGGACGGAAGAGGCGAGUGGAAUUCUCGGUGUAGCGGUGAAAUGCGUAGAUAUCGAGAGGAACACCUGAGGUGAAGACGGGUUGCUGGGCCGACACUGACGCUGAGUGCGCGAAAGCCAGGGGAGCAAACGGG